UUUUAAAAUGUACAUAAGAAAGAAAUUUGCUUAUAAUGGUUACAUUUUAAUAAGCUGUACAAGACUUAGCCUUGUUUAUGUAUAAGAAGAAUGUUCCUUCAGAGCUUUCCUGCUCAUGAUGUCCGGCACAGGAAAAAUGAUACGGGAGCUCGACUUGAUCUGCUGUUUUCUGUGCCUUAUUCUGAUAUGUGUGAGGUCUGAUCCCUGGGGGUGACCUUCAGUGCAGCCAUCUGUAAGGGCGACAGUUUCCGACUCACCGACGGCAUCUCCCACACCUCCACCGAUUCUCCCGGGGGCCUUCGACUCAUCGAUGGUGGCUGGGAUCAGGGCACGGCGGCACCACGGAAAAGGGCUGUGUUUUUAUCAUCAGUGUGACAGUGCCGUGCCACCUUUGCAGUUUUAAGGCCCAGGGAUAUGAGCCUGCCAGUGCUCUGUAGCGGCGAUAAGGAAAGGCUGCUCUUCAUAGAGGACUCACGCUCAGGGAGCCGUUUUCUGGUUGACUCCGGUUCCCAGAAGAGCCUCGGGAACUCUCGUGUCAUCUUUGCAUGCUUCCAUGAUAGUAUAUAGUAUAGUAGUAUAUUAUUUAAUCUUAAAAAAAAUUGGAGAUUUCCCGUGUACCACCAGAGAGAGCCCAAGUACUACUAGUGGUGCGCGUACCACAGUUUGAGAACCACUGCAGUAGAGGAGCACUGCUGCGGUGGCAAAAACAGCUGCACUGUUCUCUGUGCGAUAUUGAUUGAUCUCAGCUCAAUGUGGGUCAUUUAUUUAAAUACUCAUGGUGAAACAAACUUAAAUGGGCACAUUUAAGUUUGUUUUGUCAGGUGAAUAAGGUGUCUUAUUCACCUGACAAAAAAUUUGUCAGGUGAAUACUAUGUACGCACAUGACCUAUGUAGUAUAAUUUGUUCUUGAACAUUGGCUAAAAGGAAUGUUUGUGACUGUGGGUGUGAAAAAACAGCUGUGACCUUCCUCAGGUAACUCAGUGCACCUAAAGCCAACUGACAGACGCAGGGAGAGAGACAGGGCAUGCAGAUAGAUUAGAUUACCAAUCUGUGAAGAGAGACAGUGCCAGAAAGCGUGCUACUGUAUUCUUAUCAGACGAUAAAAAAGCACGCAAGUUUGAAGAAGCACAGGUUGUCCAAAGGUAUUAAUGUAAGCAAUGGUUAACAAGAACUUGCACUAGCACAGUGUUGAAAUCUCCUUGUUGGCUGCCACAAUCUACAGUUUUAAAAAUACAUCAUCAAUUAACUCAGCAAAACCUGUCAGACUCAGCUAAAAUACCUCACUUGCUAACAGCAAUUCAAAGUCUGCUUAUUCUUCAAAACAAGUCUUAGUUUAGGCUUAGUACAGCCCAUGUGUGGAUGCACACACUGUGUGGGUAAUUAACUCAGAAUGUAGCUUUAAAUUAUAUAGAGGAACAACAAAAUACAAGCACGGCUAUGUAAUGAAAUGCAGAUGUGAUGAAAGAGCACCUUGGCCAUUCAGCUUUGUAAAAAAAAAAGAAAGGUUAAAAGGAAAAUCUGGUGCAGUGUAUUUUUUCACAGGUGACAGAAAGUCAGACAUAGUUUACUCACUGAGGACAAACUUGAUCUCUGAAACUACUAAUGUUAAAAGAAAGUGAUUGGACUUCUACUGUUAGAAAUAUUUGUUGUCCCUUUAACAUCAAAGAUAAGCAACUUUUCAUCAAUGCAUCUGUGAGGACCAAAGAACUUUUAAAUCAUAAAAAUUCCUCAGAAAUUCUCGUUGGUCUGUUCUCACAUUCAUUUUGCAGCAGCGACAACAAAUGUCUGCAGUGACCAGCUGUCCACAGAACCCCGAUCACGGUGAAAGUAGAAAAGCAGCAGAUUUUAAUCAAACACCUUUAAAUCAAAAAUUCUUUAUUGAUAAACCAGUUAAUGUUAAAAUGUUAAAUUAUUUAACAGCACAAUAUUUCCAAACUUACAUCAAGAUAAUAUUUUUAUGAAAGAUUAUUUUUGUCCCUCAGGAAAUGUCAUAGACUAACUGUCGGUCUAGAGCGUGACACCACAAAAGGCUAAAAAAGAAAAAGACGAGUUCUUUAUUUGAUGUUAAAGAGCUGAUGAGCUCUUUGAGUUCUCUUUUCAUUCGUAAUGACUAACUGGGUCCCUUUGUCUAUGUAUUGUCCUGCUACCUUUUCUUUUCUUUUUCCUUUCCCCUCA